rnacentral:misc_RNA from 1 species
UUUCCGUAGGUGAACCUGCGGAAGGAUCAUUACUGAAGUGAGUCUUCAUCAUUGAAGCUUCUUCCCAUUGUGCUGGCUUUGACCGUAUGUAAUGUUGGGGAUUAAACAUGGUUAAAAUUUUUUUAGCCGUCCCUAGCAAAUUAUCUUAUCCUUUAUUAAAUUGAACUGAACUCAUUUUGAGAUUACAUAAAAAAUAAUCUUUUAAUACAACUUUCAACAACGGAUCUCUUGGUUCUC